rnacentral:rRNA from 1 species
GAUCCUGGCUCAGGAUGAACGCUAGCGACAGGCUUAACACACGCAAGUCGAGGGGCAGCACAGGUAGCAAUACCGGGUGGCGACCGGCGCACGGGUGAGUAACGCGUAUGCAACUUACCUAUCAGAGGGGGAUAACCCGGCGAAAGUCGGACUAAUACCGCAUGAAGCAGGGGUCCCGCAUGGGGAUAUUUGCUAAAGAUUCAUCGCUGAUAGAUAGGCAUGCGUUCCAUUAGGCAG